UAGGGCGUCGAGGUCAGAGGCCGUUCGUGCUUGCACGGUAAGGCAGAUGACUUUGGCACCCGCCAAACAUGAGAAAGCAGCGAUUUACGAAGUAAAUCUGCGGAUUUCGAAUGGUUGUAGAAUUGCGAGAGCUGUUUGGCAGCGAAGCAAUUCGUAGGUGU
rnacentral:sRNA from 1 species